ACCCAAUACACACGCACACUGAACACAGAGGGAGACAGAGGGGAGUGCGGGAAGGGAAGAGAGGGAGGAGAAAGAAGACGGCGUUGGUUGGGGGCUUCGCCGCCGUCGCCGUCGAGCAUGAAGGGUGGAGAAGAGAGAUCCCGCGUCCGAGAGAGAAGAGGAGAUGCUGUCCGCGCUGCUGCCUCCAUCGCUGUCAAUCCGCCGCUGCCACUGCUAGGGCUCGUAGUGGGAAGCGUUGCCGUCACCGUCACCGUCGUGCCCUGGUGCCGUCGAUGGAAGCCACCGCCGUCGCCUGAGAAGAACCCGAAGAGAGAGAGGGAGCCCGAGAGAGGAAUGCAAAGCAGGAGCCUCCGUGUCGCGCCGCCGAUCUGUCACCGUGCUGCUGGGCUGUUGCCGCCACCGAAGGUCAGUCGCCGUCGCCGUCGCCGUGGGUUAUUUCCGCCGUCCAAGCCAUCAAUGAAGGGAGCCUUGCCGCUGUGUGCUAAGAGGAGGAGGAGCUCCUAUCAUUGACGUAAUGAACAGAACGGAAGAAGGGGGCACCGGAGAGUGAUGCUGCUGCCGUGACCAUCACUGAGCUUUGCGCUGUCGUUGGAGCUGCUGACAAAGAGGUCGCCACCGUUGAAGCUCGCUGGAGAAGGAGUCACUAUCGGAAGAAGCUGCCACUGCUGUGUGUAGAAGAAAGAUGAGUGUCGCAAGAAUCAGGGGUAAGAAAAGGACACGAUGCUGUUGUUAUUGCUGCCGGGUCGCCGCUGAAGCCCUCUUCUGCCGUCGGAGCUGCUGUUCGGCUGUCUUGAUUACGUUGUUAAUGCGACAUUGAGUGACACAAGUUCGAAGACUCAGUAAGAAGCUGCAGACGAUUAGUAGAUUUACUUAUGAUUCCUGUUGUUGUUAUGGAGUUUUCCACGCCUUUGUUGAUUAAGAUUUUAUUUUAUACAGAGAGAUAGGAGUCGUAACUAAAUUUCAUUUAAAUUCUUUUGUAUAAGAUUUAUUAUUAUUAGUAAUUAUGUGAUUAUUAUUA